rnacentral:rRNA from 1 species
AGCCAUGCAUGUUUAUGUAAUAAGGACGAAUAGCUCAGUAGAACUGCGAUUAUUUAAUCUGUCUGUAAGAUAACCACGUGAAAAUGUGGCUAAGAGAGGGCAGAAUAAGACGUAGGACUAUCAGUUAGUUGGUAGUGUAAUGGACUACCAAGACGGUAACGGUUGACGGGGAAUUAGGGUUUUAUACCGGAGAGGGAGCCUGAGAGAUUGCUCCC